rnacentral:rRNA from 1 species
CAAUAGCGUAUAUUAAAGUUGUUGCAGUUAAAAAGCUCGUAGUUGGAUUUCUGAUCGAGACAUCAGGUCGGGUCCGAGAGGAUCAUGUACUUUGAUUUUGUUUUGAUCAUCCUUGGGGAGAGCAUUUCUGGCAUUCAGUUGUCGGGAUUGGGAUCCUCAUCGUUUACUGUGAAAAAAUUAGAGUGUUCAAAGCAGGCCUCGGCCUCUGAAUACAUUAGCAUGGAAUAAUAAGAUAGGACUUUGGUGGUCUAUUUUGUUGGUUUGCACGCCAAAGUAAUGAUUAAUAGGGAUAGUUGGGGGUAUUCGUAUUCAAUUGUCAGAGGUGAAAUUCUUAGAUUUAUGGAAGACGAACUACUGCGAAAGCAUUUACCAAGGAUGUUUUCAUUAA